GACGAACGCUGGCGGCGUGCCUAACACAUGCAAGUCGAGCGAGUGAAUCUCCUUCGGGAGUGAAGCUAGCGGCGGACGGGUGAGUAACACGUGGGCAACCUGCCUCCUAGAGGGGAAUAGCCUUUCGAAAGGAAGAUUAAUACCGCAUAAGAUUGUAGCUUCGCAUGAAGUAGCAAUUAAAGGAGCAAUCCGCUAUGAGAUGGGCCCGCGGCGCAUUAGCUAGUUGGUGAGGUAACGGCUCACCAAGGACACGAUGCGUAGCCGACCUGAGAGGGUGAUCGGCCACAUUGGGACUGAGACACUGCCCAGACUCCUACGGGAGGCAGCAGUGGGGAAUAUUGCACAAUGGGGGAAACCCUGAUGCAGCAACGCCGCGUGAGUGAUGACGGCCUUCGGGUUGUAAAGCUCUGUCUUCAGGGACGAUAAUGACGGUACCUGAGGAGGAAGCACGGCUAACUACGUGCCAGCCGCCGCCGUAACAC
rnacentral:rRNA from 1 species